rnacentral:rRNA from 1 species
AGAGUUUGAUCAUGGCUCAGGACGAACGCUGGCGGCGCGCCUAAUACAUGCAAGUCGAGCGGAAUGAUGAAGAAGCUUGCUUCUUCUGAUUUUAGCGGCGGACGGGUGAGUAACACGUGGGCAACCUACCUUGUAGAUUGGGAUAACUCCGGGAAACCGGGGCUAAUACUGAAUAAACCAUUUUGCUUCAUGGCAAGAUGUUGAAAGGCGGCUUCGGCUGUCACUACUAGAUGGGCCCGCGGCGUAUUAGCUAGUUGGUAGGGUAAUGGCCUACCAAGGCGACGAUACGUAGCCGACCUGAGAGGGUGAUCGGCCACACUGGGACUGAGACACGGCCCAGACUCCUACGGGAGGCAGCAGUAGGGAAUCUUCCACAAUGGACGAAAGUCUGAUGGAGCAACGCCGCGUGAGUGAAGAAGGUUUUCGGAUCGUAAAACUCUGUUGUAAGGGAAGAACACGUACGAGAGUAACUGCUCGUACCUUGACGGUACCUUAUUAGAAAGCCACGGCUAACUACGUGCCAGCAGCCGCGGUAAUACGUAGGUGGCAAGCGUUGUCCGGAAUUAUUGGGCGUAAAGCGCGCGCAGGCGGUUCUUUAAGUCUGAUGUGAAAGCCCACGGCUCAACCGUGGAGGGUCAUUGGAAACUGGAGAACUUGAGUACAGAAGAGGAAAGCGGAAUUCCACGUGUAGCGGUGAAAUGCGUAGAGAUGUGGAGGAACACCAGUGGCGAAGGCGGCUUUCUGGUCUGUAACUGACGCUGAGGCGCGAAAGCGUGGGGAGCAAACAGGAUUAGAUACCCUAGUAGUCCACGCCGUAAACGAUGAGUGCUAAGUGUUAGGGGUUUCCGCCCCUUAGUGCUGCGGCUAACGCAUUAAGCACUCCGCCU